GGUAUGCAGUGAGGCGGCCGCCUCUUUUAUCCAUGUGGGACGGACUGUCAGCAUAAAAGUAUAAGGUCCGCCGCCUCCGGGGCGGUGUCUUCUGACGUGAAGAACCUAAAAAUUCAUCGGUCACUGAACCAUUCCCAUCCUGGUAUGAAAAUCAUACCUUAACUCCGUCCCCUUUUCGCUUCCAAUCAAAACCCUAGCCACCACAAAAUAGUUGAUAAUGCUCUAGUUCUUAUAUUGCUACUUUCUUAAAAAUGGAACCAAGCUAAUAAUUUGCAUCGAUGGAGACAUUUUGAAAUCUAGGGUUACCUUUCUAUCAUUUUUCUAUUAGGGGGAGGGGUUCUUUUGAUCAAGAGAACGACCCUUUGAUCUGGGGAUAGAGAGAGAGAGAGAGAGAGGAGAAAAUGAAGGAAUUGAUAGGGAGUCCAGGAACUGUGAGUGGGCUAGUACUGAGAAUAGGGCAAUGUGCAUUUGCCGCUGCUUCUAUUGGAAUUAUGGCCUCUGCCAAUGGCUUCUCUCGCUACACCGCUUUCUG
rnacentral:misc_RNA from 1 species